CCCUUAGAUGUUCUGGGCCGCACGCGCGCUACACUGAUUCAUGCAACAAGUUUUGUCCUUGGCUGAUAGGCCUGGGUAAUCUUUGAACGUGAAUCGUGAUGGGGAUAGAUGAUUGCAAUUAUUCAUCUUCAACGAGGAAUUCCUAGUAAACGCAAGUCAUCAGCUUGCAUUGAUUACGUCCCUGCCCUUUGUACACACCGCCCGUCGCACCUACCGAUUGAAUGGUCCGGUGAAAUCUUCGGAUCUGAGAGAUGUCUGAUUAAUUUCGGACGCCUUUUGGAGAAGUUGUUUAAACCUUACCAUUUAGAGGAAGGUGAAGUCGUAACA
rnacentral:rRNA from 1 species